CAACCCUCGAACCCCUCCGGGGGGUCGGCGUUGGGGAUCGGCCCUCUACCGGCCGGCCCCGAAAUACAGUGGCGGUCACGCCGCAGCCUCCCCUGCGCAGUAGUUUGCACACUCGCACCGGGAGCGCGGCGCGCCCAAUGCCGUAAAACACCCAACUUUCUGAAGUG
rnacentral:misc_RNA from 1 species